UUGAUCAUUGGUUCCUAAGGCAUCUUUUACUUUGGCAAUCAUGGAUGGGACACUGGCUUCCUGCUCAGUAAAUCUUACAACCACCAUUCUGCUGUUCAUGUCACACUGUGACUUUUUGGGGGCGGAACCAAAAGUGGCGAAGAUUGGUUCCGCCCGAAGAUGGUUUCCGCCCGGCCCGUAUAUUACAAACACCGGAACUUCCGGGAAACUCCGGGAGGCAAAUUGGGCUGUACGAGGCACAGGUGAGGACAAUAAAUGCGGCGAUCGUGGAUUGGACAACGGAGAGAACAGGAAGGGUAUAAAAAGAGUCUCAGAAAUUCAAACAGGAGUUCGAGUUGAAUCGAUUCAGGCCGAUCCGCCGGGCAGUGUAGAGGUUUGGGCAGAGUCAGCAUUGGUGAAGGCAGAGGAUCUUCACGGGGUGAAGAAGGAGACAAGGACACUAGUAACUGGGCUGAGUAUACAACAUUUAUCGAUGUUUGAUGAGACCAUCUCUAUAUAAACUACUGAUGUGUUGGAGUCACAGUCAUAGGAAGUACUCACCGGAAGUAACGUCAAGGGCGAUCUCCAGCAACGGAAAACCGAUGGUGUGAAGAGGAUUGGACAGCUAGAAGGAGAAGGAGACAAAGGAAGAGUGUUAUUGUUCAUUUGUGAGUACUAUUGGACAGUGCAUUGUACAUCAUUGGGGAGAGUGCAUUAUCCAGCGUAUGUUGUGAGCAUCUGGUAAAUAGGCCAGCGGCCCCAUUACGGAGCAGAGUUUUGGGUGAGCCGGGAAGUACAAGUACAGGAAGCCGCAAGCAGUCGUGACGGCAACGUUAUUCCUCCGGCCCUUCAUCUAUCAACAACGCCCAACGAAACCCCAGGAUAAGUCCUAGUAAACCGUGGUUCUGACCCUAUUUCACGUAGAGAGUGCAGUGGGUGAGUCCUUGUCUUUGCUGUGAGUGUGUACACUUGAAAUCUUGCAGUGGUAUGCUGUGGUUGUGUUGUCAGUAGCCACCCUGGACUGGAUGAGUCGUGGGGGAGACCAGUGACCGUUGAGGCUGGUGAAGCGCCAUUUUCAUCUAUAUGCCAUUUUGCGACCCCUGCAUGGAGACCCAAAUGUAACGUCCUGUCUAGACCCUUUCGGAAUACCCUGGCUCUGUGGAAGCGGUGGUGAAGAAUACACGUAAGCAAGACUGGUGUUUGCCCCGGUCCAGAUCCCUUAAACUGCAAAUAGAAGAGAGGAGAGGGAAGCGUUCGGCUCGGUGCGACAGUGUUUAACUUUCCCCGACGCACAGGAAAUCCCUGUGGAGGCCUGCGCUACGAAGAUUUACUACUCCAGGUCUGACAGUUCAUCUACUUACUGUAUCGCAGUAUUUCACCGUAAGCCCACCGCCCAGGAGAAGUAUUCUAGGUGAAAAAUCCCCGUUGUGAAAUACUUACCUUUGUCCAUUGCUACGAAUCACUAAAGUGAGAAUAGAGCCCCAGUUGCCUGUGAAAUACCUACCUUUGUCCAUUGCUACGAAUCACUAAAGUGAGAAUAGAGCCCCAGUUGCCUGUGAAGUACCUACCUGUGUUGUCCCCCGCAGUUUGAGUGACCUCUCUCUUGCAGUGCCAUUGGAGUUCUGUGUCGCGGGUUGGCGCUUACCUCGGAGUGUGCAGAAGGGGAGGCGCCGCCCGAGCACCCUGUACGAAGAGAUCGGAGGAACAAGUCAUUUAUCAGCCAGUCGUAUGGACCCAAGUAACGGGUAGCCACCCUCACCGGAUCGAUUAUUCAUUGUGUGUUUCACUCUGCCUUCAGGAGAAAAGAAGGGCACCACGAGUCAACAAAAGCCCAAAGAGGAAGACUAAGGGUUUUCGAAAGGGACGAAGGAGCUCCGUCCCCCUCUUCCCUCUGUGGACAUACUAACCCUCGCCGCAUAGUCCUCUCCGGCCCCUUUCUCCUCCUGCUGAACAGAGACGAUAAUUUUAAGAUUUACCUCCCCCUCCCUGAAUUUUAAUUAAUUUAAAUAAAGUUGCUUUAAUAUUA